GACGAACGCUGGCGGCGUGCUUAACACAUGCAAGUCGAACGGAAAGGCCCUGCUUGCAGGGUGCUCGAGUGGCGAACGGGUGAGUAACACGUGGGUGAUCUGCCCCUUACUUUGGGAUAAGCCUGGGAAACUGGGUCUAAUACUGGAUAGGACCAUGCUGUAGGUGGUGUGGUGGAAAGAUUAGUUUCGGUAAGGGAUGAGCUCGCGGCCUAUCAGCUUGUUGGUGGGGUAAUGGCCUACCAAGGCGUCGACGGGUAGCCGGCCUGAGAGGGUGGACGGCCACAUUGGGACUGCGAUACGGCCCAGACUCCUACGGGAGGCAGCAGUGGGGAAUAUUGCACAAUGGGCGCAAGCCUGAUGCAGCGACGCCGCGGGGGGGAUGACGGCCUUCGGGUUGUAAACUCCUUUCAGCCAUGACGAAGCCCUUGUGGUGACGGUAGUGGUAGAAGAAGCACCGGCUAACUACGUG
rnacentral:rRNA from 1 species